UACGUAGGGUGCAAGCGUUGUCCGGAUUUAUUGGGCGUAAAGGGCGCGUAGGCGGCCACGCACGUCCGUUGUGAAAUCGCCCGGCUCAACUGGGCGGGGUCAGCGGAUACGGUGUGGCUCGAGCAAGCUAGGGGGCAAUGGAAUUCCCGGUGUAGUGGUGGAAUGCGUAGAUAUCGGGAGGAACACCAGUGGCGAAGGCGGUUGCCUGGAGCUUUGCUGACGCUGAGGCGCGAAAGCGUGGGGAGCGAUCCGG
rnacentral:rRNA from 1 species